CACUGCUGUUUGGGCAACCCUUUGUCAGGGCCUGUUAUCUCCCACUUGCAGAUCCAGGACAUUUCAGAGGUCAGAGAGAGGAGGGAGGCCUCUUCUGAGAUUUUGACCUCUAUUCAGGCUACCUUAAUAAAGCAGUAUGUGCUGAAAUGCCCGGCACGACACAGGUGGUUAUCAGUCAUUUGGAUUGUCCUCUGCUCAAACUGUAUGUACAAAACUAGCCGGCUAGCAGAACACUGGAGCUGAGGAGCUUUUCCAGAGGGAGGGGGAAGCGGUGGCCAACAAGCCCUGGAGGCCCCAUCCGUCGCCUGCAUCGCGAGAAUUGCUGAGGGAGGCAGAGGUGAACAGAAGAUGGAGACAAGGACAAAGUCAUGAUAAGAAGAGAGGAACUGUUUUUUACAGAAGCUGACAACAUAAGGAAACAUGUUAGCUCCCUUUUUCUAAAAGGGUCUCCAUCUGUCGCCCAGGUUGGAAUGCAGCAGCACAAUCUCAGCUCACUGCAGCCUCGACCUCCUGGGCUCAAGUGAUCUUCCCUCCUUAGCCUCCCCAAGUAGCUGGGACUGCAG